UACGUAGGAUCCGAGCGUUGUCCGGAUUUACUGGGUGUAAAGGGUGCGCAGGCGGACUGGUGAGUCUGGGGUGGAAUCUCGCUGCUUAACAGCGAAACUGCCUUAGAUACUAUCAGUCUUGGAUAAGCGAGAGGUUCGUGGAAUUCCGAGUGUAGCAGUGAAAUGUGUAGAUAUUCGGAAGAACACCAGUGGCGAAGGCAGCGAACUGGCGCUUUAUCGACGCUCAUGCACGAAAGCAUGGGGAUCAAACAGG
rnacentral:rRNA from 1 species